AUGAAAAAAUCUGGUCCUUCUCAGCAGCAACAGCAGGCAAAUUCUGAAACAAAAGGGGCAAUUCAUGGGAAUGACAAAACACGGGUGGUAAAGAAUACGCCAUCAAGCUCAGCAGUACCACCGUGCGGCAAAGAUGGAGAUGAGGCAGUAUCUACAGGGGCAGCUCCAAAGCAAUCUGACUUGCCUGAAGCUGUAACCAUGGGAAAAAGUCUGGAACAAAAGUUGCUAAUAGCCCUAGGGAAAUUGCCUGACUGCUCAACUGUGCUUGCCCAACCUGAGGCCACAAGUGCUCCAGAAGUAAUAGAAGCAACUGGCCAGGGGAACACUUCCCAUUUCUCUGAUGUGGAGGAGUGGUACCAUGAAUUCAUGUGUGUUAGUGGGAAGAAAACCAAUGCACUAGAAAUCAAUGUUCUAGAUGUGAGUGAGCUGUUUGCAAGCCCAAGGGUAAUUGAAUAUGGAAAAUACUUUGUCACAAUCAGGGAGCUUGAAAACUCAAUGAAGAAGGAAGGUUUUGUCUUGAGCCAUGUAAUGGAAGUUGGUAUAGAGUCUAUAAUGAUGAACUUGCCACCAGACUCAAAGAAGCUCGUGAUGCCCCUCAGGUUCUCGGUUCAGAUACAAAAAAAUGGAAUUGAACGGCAAGGAGCUCAUUUCCUGGUUCAAGAAGUCGAAUCGCUUGGACCGUAA
rnacentral:rRNA from 1 species